rnacentral:rRNA from 1 species
GAUGAACGCUGGCGGCGUGCCUAAUACAUGCAAGUCGAGCGAACGGACGAGAAGCUUGCUUCUCUGAUGUUAGCGGCGGACGGGUGAGUAACACGUGGAUAACCUACCUAUAAGACUGGGAUAACUUCGGGAAACCGGAGCUAAUACCGGAUAAUAUUUUGAACCGCAUGGUUCAAAAGUGAAAGACGGUCUUGCUGUCACUUAUAGAUGGAUCCGCGCUGCAUUAGCUAGUUGGUAAGGUAACGGCUUACCAAGGCAACGAUGCAUAGCCGACCUGAGAGGGUGAUCGGCCACACUGGAACUGAGACACGGUCCAGACUCCUACGGGAGGCAGCAGUAGGGAAUCUUCCGCAAUGGGCGAAAGCCUGACGGAGCAACGCCGCGUGAGUGAUGAAGGUCUUCGGAUCGUAAAACUCUGUUAUUAGGGAAGAACAUAUGUGUAAGUAACUGUGCACAUCUUGACGGUACCUAAUCAGAAAGCCACGGCUAACUACGUGCCAGCAGCCGCGGUAAUACGUAGGUGGCAAGCGUUAUCCGGAAUUAUUGGGCGUAAAGCGCGCGUAGGCGGUUUUUUAAGUCUGAUGUGAAAGCCCACGGCUCAACCGUGGAGGGUCAUUGGAAACUGGAAAACUUGAGUGCAGAAGAGGAAAGUGGAAUUCCAUGUGUAGCGGUGAAAUGCGCAGAGAUAUGGAGGAACACCAGUGGCGAAGGCGACUUUCUGGUCUGUAACUGACGCUGAUGUGCGAAAGCGUGGGGAUCAAACAGGAUUAGAUACCCUGGUAGUCCACGCCGUAAACGAUGAGUGCUAAGUGUUAGGGGGUUUCCGCCCCUUAGUGCUGCAGCUAACGCAUUAAGCACUCCGCCUGGGGAGUACGACCGCAAGGUUGAAACUCAAAGGAAUUGACGGGGACCCGCACAAGUGGUGGAGCAUGUGGUUUAAUUCGAAGCAACGCGAAGAACCUUACCAAAUCUUGACAUCCUUUGACAACUCUAGAGAUAGAGCCUUCCCCUUCGGGGGACAAAGUGACAGGUGGUGCAUGGUUGUCGUCAGCUCGUGUCGUGAGAUGUUGGGUUAAGUCCCGCAACGAGCGCAACCCUUAAGCUUAGUUGCCAUCAUUAAGUUGGGCACUCUAAGUUGACUGCCGGUGACAAACCGGAGGAAGGUGGGGAUGACGUCAAAUCAUCAUGCCCCUUAUGAUUUGGGCUACACACGUGCUACAAUGGACAAUACAAAGGGCAGCGAAACCGCGAGGUCAAGCAAAUCCCAUAAAGUUGUUCUCAGUUCGGAUUGUAGUCUGCAACUCGACUACAUGAAGCUGGAAUCGCUAGUAAUCGUAGAUCAGCAUGCUACGGUGAAUACGUUCCCGGGUCU